rnacentral:rRNA from 1 species
ACUCAAAGGAAUAGACGGGGGCCCGCACAAGCAGCGGAGCAUGUGGUUUAAUUCGACGCAACGCGAAGAACCUUACCUGGGCUUGACAUGUUUCUGACCGGUGUGGAAACACACCUUUCCUUCGGGACAGAUUCACAGGUGGUGCAUGGCUGUCGUCAGCUCGUGUCGUGAGAUGUUGGGUUAAGUCCCGCAACGAGCGCAACCCCCGUCGCAUGUUGCCAGCAUUUAGUUGGGGACUCAUGCGAGACUGCCGGUGACAAACCGGAGGAAGGUGGGGAUGACGUCAAGUCAUCAUGCCCCUUAUGUCCAGGGCUACACACGUGCUACAUUGGCGCCUACAAAGGGUUGCAAGACCGUGAGGUGGAGCGAAUCCCAUAAAGGGCGUCUCGGUUCGGAUUGAAGGCUGAAACUCGCCUUCAUGAAGGUGGAGUUGCUAGUAAUCGCGGAUCAGCAACGCCGCGGUGAAUACGUUCCCGGGCCUUGUACACACCGCCCGU